GAUGAACGCUGACAGAAUGCUUAACACAUGCAAGUCAACUUGAACUUCGGUUUGGGUGGCGGACGGGUGAGUAACGCGUAAAGAACUUGCCUCACAGCUAGGGACAACAUUUGGAAACGAAUGCUAAUACCUGAUAUUAUGAUUUUAGGGCAUCCUAGAAUUAUGACAGCUAUAUGCGCUGUGAGAGAGCUUUGCGUCCCAUUAGCUAGUUGGAGAGGUAACGGCUCACCAAGGCGAUGAUGGGUAGCCGGCCUGAGAGGGUGAACGGCCACAAGGGGACUGAGACACGGCCCUUACUCCUACGGGAGGCAGCAGUGGGGAAUAUUGGACAAUGGACCAAGAGUCUGAUCCAGCAAUUCUGUGUGAACGAUGAAGUUUUUCGGAAUGUAAAGUGCUUUCAGUUAGGAAGAAAAAAAUGACGGUACCAACAGAAGAAGUGACGGCUAAAUACGUG
rnacentral:rRNA from 1 species